rnacentral:rRNA from 1 species
AACGAACGCUGGCGGCGUGCCUAACACAUGCAAGUCGUGCGAGAAAGUUCCUUCGGGAGCGAGUAAAGCGGCGCACGGGUGAGUAACACGUAGGUAACCUGCCCCCCAGUCUGGAACAACUAGAGGAAACUCUAGCUAAUGCCGGAUGAGACCACGAUCCCUUCGGGGGUUGCGGCCAAAGAUGGCCUCUACUUGUAAGCUAUCGCUGAGGGAUGGGCCUGCGGGCCAUUAGCUUGUUGGUGAGGUAACGGCUCACCAAGGCUGUGAUGGCUAGCUGGUCUGAGAGGAUGACCAGCCACACUGGGACUGAGACACGGCCCAGACUCCUACGGGAGGCAGCAGUGGGGAAUAUUGCGCAAUGGGCGAAAGCCUGACGCAGCGACGCCGCGUGAGUGAUGAAGGCCUGGUGUAAGCUCUGUGGAGGGGGACGGAAGU